UAGGGAAUCUUCCGCAAUGGGCGAAAGCUUGACGGAGCAACGCCGCGUGAGUGAUGAAGGUCUUCGGAUCGUAAAACUCUGUUAUUAGGGAAGAACAAAUGUGUAAGUAACUAUGCACGUCUUGACGGUACCUAAUCAGAAAGCCACGGCUAACUACGUGCCAGCAGCCGCGGUAAUACGUAGGUGGCAAGCGUUAUCCGGAAUUAUUGGGCGUAAAGCGCGCGUAGGCGGUUUUUUAAGUCUGAUGUGAAAGCCCACGGCUCAACCGUGGAGGGUCAUUGGAAACUGGAAAACUUGAGUGCAGAAGAGGAAAGUGGAAUUCCAUGUGUAGCGGUGAAAUGCGCAGAGAUAUGAAGGAACACCAGUGGCGAAGGCGACUUUCUGGUCUGUAACUGACGCUGAUGUGCGAAAGCGUGGGGAUCAAACAGG
rnacentral:rRNA from 1 species